rnacentral:rRNA from 1 species
ACCUGCCCAUAAGACUGGGAUAACUCCGGGAAACCGGGGCUAAUACCGGAUAACAUUUUGAACUGCAUGGUUCGAAAUUGAAAGGCGGCUUCGGCUGACACUUAUGGAUGGACCCGCGUCGCAUUAGCUAGUUGGUGAGGUAACGGCUCACCAAGGCAACGAUGCAUAGCCGACCUGAGAGGGUGAUCGGCCACACUGGAACUGAGACACGGUCCAG